GACGAACGCUGGCGGCGUGCCUAAUACAUGCAAGUCGAACGAGAGCGCCCGGUGCUUGCCCUGGUCAAUCUAGUGGCGAACGGGAGAGUAACACGUGGGUAACCUGCCCAUCAGAGGGGGAUAACAUCCGGAAACGGAUGCUAAAACCGCAUAGGUCUUCGAGCCGCAUGGCUUGAAGAGGAAAAGAGGCGCAAGCUUCUGCUGAUGGAUGGACCCGCGGUGCAUUAGCUAGUUGGUGAGGUAACGGCUCACCAAGGCCGUGAUGCAUAGCCGACCUGAGAGGGUGAUCGGCCACAUUGGGACUGAGACACGGCCCAAACUCCUACGGGAGGCAGCAGUAGGGAAUCUUCCGCAAUGGACGCAAGUCUGACGGAGCAACGCCGCGUGAGUGAAGAAGGUGUUCGGAUCGUAAAACUCUGUUGUUAGAGAAGAACAAGUGCUAGAGUAACUGUUAGCGCCUUGACGGUAUCUAACCAGAAAGCCACGGCUAACUACAUG
rnacentral:rRNA from 1 species